GGAUGUUUUUUAUUGCACAAGGUUACAGCUUAACUGUUAAAACAACAUUGGGGGCCUGAAAGGUUAUCUAGCUAUAAAUGCAAACAAGUUCACAGUAACAAUAUUUGUGGGUGUCUAAGUGUUGCAUAUGGGACAACGCUAUCCCAUCUGUGGCUUGCAUGAACUGAUUUUAUAAUUAAAUUGAAAUGAGGAAUUGGACUGCACAUACCAGUCUAGAGACCAUUCAAAGUUGUUAGCAGGAGUCAGAUUCAAUCCUGGUUGAGAAUACAAAUGGCAGAAUUCAAAUGGCACGAGAGGUCCUGCAUGAUCUUUCUAAUCAAGAACAGUUGCCACCUGCCAAUGCCAUCUUCAGGACACAUGGACACAAGAAAGGCAGACAGUAGUUGCAGCACAUACCUACAGAGCUUCUAUGCAUGACGCUGCACUUGCAAAAAAUGUCUUGUUUCAUGGGAAGAAUCAUAGCCAUGGUAUGGCUGAGGCAAGGAAGCUUCUUUGUCAUCCUCUCUUCCAGGAGAGCUUCAGCACUGGCAUCGCUGUAUGUCAUUCAACCAUACUCUUUCCUUGCCUUCCUCCACAAACUGAUGUACAACAUCUACAAGCACAGUUCAUAAGCCAGUGAAAAGUGCAAAUAUUAAGCCCUAUUUAUUGCUUGUUCCACCAAAACUUAGGUGAAGGAUGUUUUGGUCCAGUUUGCAUGCUGCCUGAAGAUACCGUCACAAUCACAAAUCUUGACAUAUAAACUCUGAAACACUUGGUACGAGGAAGUUGUGUACAAAUCCCAUGCGGGGUCUCAAGGAAGGGGCAAAUUUCAACCAGCAAAAUUCAUGGCCCAGCAGGCUGUGGAGGAUCCUGUCAGUUGCUAUGUUAUGUACCUCUCUCCCCCAAUCAUUUUAUUACCCUGAACAUCUGUGGAAACGUGGAGGUGCAGGGAGCCUCGAGGCUGCUCAGCAUGCUUGACUCCAUUUUCUCCUUAAACAUGUGCAAAUGCUACUUCUAUUUUCACCUUUGCAGAGCUGUGAUUUGCAGCACCAAAGCCUAAAUGACACCCAAGAUCCCUCCAGAGCAUUAAACGAACAAGCUAGUAGGACAUCUCACAGUCUGGGAAGUGCUAAAUUGAAAGCAGUAGUACAAACUACACUGCUUUGAAAAUGAACCAGUUGAAUUUCUUUGCUGUGAUCCAAAUCUGAGAAGUCUUUUCUCAUGGCUUUUUCUGUGUGAAUCCAGGCUCUGUGCACUCCCAGAAAAUGGAAACAGAAUUCUGAUUCAAGGCUUCUAAAGUAGAAAAUCAUGUGUUUCUCAUCUCGUUUUGGUUUCAACUGGAUUUAUACAAAGCAAAUACGAAGAGGACAGCCAGGAGACUAUCCACAGUAAUAUUUUGACAGAGUGGGUGUUUAACAUGUGUCUUGUCAGUGAGCUGCUGAUUUGAUACUAACAGUAGAUACAAGCCUCACAAAGUUAGUCAGGGGCAAUCAGUAGCACGUUAAAAGCUAGAACAUGACUAGGACUAUACAAGGUAGUUUGGGCUUGAGGAUUAAUAUUAGUUGAAGGACUGUGUUAAAAUAACUGGCUAUAAGGAGAAUACUUUGUAGUGGUAUCUCCUGGGCUGUCUGCAAGUUCUUCAGUUUCUUCUUAAAAAUAAGCCC
ensembl:lncRNA